rnacentral:rRNA from 1 species
GACGAACGCUGGCGGCGUGCUUAACACAUGCAAGUCGAACGGAAAGGCCCUGCUUUUGUGGGGUGCUCGAGUGGCGAACGGGUGAGUAACACGUGAGUAACCUGCCCUUGACUUUGGGAUAACUUCAGGAAACUGGGGCUAAUACCGGAUAGGAGCUCCUGCUGCAUGGUGGGGGUUGGAAAGUUUCGGCGGUUGGGGAUGGACUCGCGGCUUAUCAGCUUGUUGGUGGGGUAGUGGCUUACCAAGGCUUUGACGGGUAGCCGGCCUAAGAGGGUGACCGGCCACAUGGGGACUGAGAGACGGCCCAGACUCCUACGGGAGGCAGCAGUGGGGAAUAUUGCACAAUGGGCGGAAGCCUGAUGCAGCAACGCCGCGUGCGGGAUGACGGCCUUCGGGUUGUAAACCGCUGUCGCCUGUGACGAAGCGUGAGUGACGGUAAUGGGUAAAGAAGCACCGGCUAACUACGUG